UUAAUUUGAGAAAUCCGCAAUUUCAUUUUUUUAAAUCAUUAAGUCUACAAUAUCAAGGAUGGAGGUUUCCAAUUUGGCGUCUUCAAAAGAAAGUUCGAUGAUAAUGAUCUGGAGUAAAUUAAUCUACAGCAGUGUGCUGCUGUAUUUCUGUAUGGUUCAGUUCUACCAAGCUUUCAAAUGGAUUCUUCAUGUACGAUUGUACAGCCUUAUUUUGACAACUCUACUCCUCAUCUGUACGAUCUAUGUGGUUCCUGUACAAUUUACUUGGAAGCUCAUGUACAGCUGUACCAAACUUGGUAUUUUGUACUCAAUUCCGCUGGUUCUAGGAUUCACCAAGUUGUUGUUAAAGUUUUGCUAGAAGAAAAAACCAAUCCUUGUCAUCUAAAGCUUUAAACUUAUAAUAAAUCUAGUUCAAACAUU